UAGGGAAUCUUCGGCAAUGGACGAAAGUCUGACCGAGCAACGCCGCGUGAGUGAAGAAGGUUUUCGGAUCGUAAAACUCUGUUGUUAGAGAAGAACAAGGACGUUAGUAACUGAACGUCCCCUGACGGUAUCUAACCAGAAAGCCACGGCUAACUACGUGCCAGCAGCCGCGGUAAUACGUAGGUGGCAAGCGUUGUCCGGAUUUAUUGGGCGUAAAGCGAGCGCAGGCGGUUUCUUAAGUGUGAUGUGAAAGCCCCCGGCUCAACCGGGGAGGGUCAUUGGAAACUGGGUGACUUGAGUGCAGAAGAGGGGUGUGGAGUUCCAUGUGUAGCGGUGAAAUGCGUAGAUAUAUGGAGGAACACCAGUGGCGAAGGCGGCUCUCUGGUCUGUAACUGACGCUGAGGCUCGAAAGCGUGGGAAGCAAACAGG
rnacentral:rRNA from 1 species